UACGGGGGGGGCAAGCGUUGUUCGGAAUUACUGGGCGUAAAGGGCUCGUAGGUGGCCAACUAAGUCAGACGUGAAAUCCCCAGGCUCAACUUGGGAACUGCGUCUGAUACUGGAUGGCUUGAAUUCGGGAGAGGGAUGCAGAAUUCCAGGUGUAGCGGUGAAAUGCGUAGAUAUCUGGAGGAAUACCAGUGGCGAAGGCGGCCUUCUGGACGGAUACUGACGCUGAGGCGCGAAAGCCAGGGGAGCAAACGGG
rnacentral:rRNA from 1 species